rnacentral:rRNA from 1 species
AUUGAACGCUGGCGGCAGGCCUAACACAUGCAAGUCGAACGAGUGGCGGACGGGCGAGUAAUGUCUGGGAAACUGCCUGAUGGAGGGGGAUAACUACUGGAAACGGUAGCUAAUAACGCAUACCAUCGGAUGUGCCCAGAUGGGAUUAGCUAUGGGGUGGGGUAAAGGCUCACCUGGGCGACGAUCCCUAGCUGGUCUGAGAGGAUGACCAGCCACACUUGAACUGAUACACGGUCCAGACUCCGACGGUAGGCAUCAGUGGGGAAUAUUGCACAAUGGGCUCAAGCCUGAUGCAGCCAUGCCGCGUGUAUGAAGAAGGCCUUCGGGUUGUAAAGCACUUUCCGCGGGGAGUCGUUACCCGCAGAAGAAGCACCGGCUAACUCCGGGCCAGCAGCCGCGGUAAUAC